GUUUUAAUAAUUUAAUAUAAAAUAUUGGUCUUGUAAAUCAAAUAUAAGGAUAACUUUUAAAACU
rnacentral:tRNA from 1 species